UCCUGGUCCUGCCCUACUUAGCAGAAGCUGGUCCUAGAGCUUUGGGGAGGUCACAACCCCGGAAGGCGAGUUCUGAUGUCUCUUUCUCUUAAAGAGGAAUGUCACUCAGAUGCUGGGCCAGGGUGACAGUGCAGCUGGCCUCAGGGCUCACAGCCCAUUGCCAGGUAGGACAGAGGUCCUAAGCAGAAUGCAGGACAGCGGGUGAUGUCAAAGGUGAACUGUCCUUCUGAGCCCUGGGGAAUGGAGCUGGCAGUGCAGUAAUCAGCUAUGGAUGUGAGAGUUGGACCAUAAAGAAGGCUGAGUGCUGAAGAAUUGAUGCUUUUGAACUGUGGUGUUGGAGAAGACUCCUGAGAGUCCCUUGGACAACAGGGAGAUCAAACCAGUCCAUCCUAGAGGAAAUCAACCCUGGAUAUUCAUUGAAAGGACUGAUGCUGAGGCUGAAACUCCAAUACUUUGGCCAUCUGAUGCAAACAACUGACUCACUGGAAAAGACCCUAAUGCUGGGGAAGAUUGAGGGCAAGAGGAGAAGGGGGUGACAGAGGAUAAAAUGGUUGGAUGCCAUCACUGACUGAAUGGACAUGAGUUUGAGCACACUCUGAGAGAUAGUGAGUGACAGAGAAGCCUGGCUUCUGCUCUGCUGGACUGCUCUGCUGCACUUCAUGAGGUCGCAAAGAGUCAGACAAGACUUAACAACUGAACAAGAACAAAGAACAUCAAGGAAAUCAAUGAUUUAGUCCUGCAAAGUUUCAGAAAAACAAAUCAGCACAAACAUAGCAAGCCAGUAUGGCCUUGGUGCCUGGGAAGGGUGUCUUAUCAUUGAAGAAGCAUUUCAUCUUUAUUUUUAAGAUAGUCAUCUUUUUUUGUUUUUUUUUUCCGGCUGCCCAGCAUGUGGGAUCUUAGUUCCCUGACCAGGGAUCGAAACCGCGCCCCAUGCAGUGGAAGCCCACAGUCUUAACCACUAGACUGUCAGGGAAGUCCCUUUUCAUGGACAUUCUUUACUUCUGGUCAAUAAUUACAGCAGAUCUACUGUGUAUGUUUGAUAGGCCACAAAUAGGCUGUUCUAAUUAGCAUCAAAUUCAAGUUAACUCAUGUAUAAGCCAGAAUGACUUCCCCACAUCUCAAUAAAUGAAUAUUCCUUUUGUCAGUGUCCCCACAUCAGGACCACAUCA